rnacentral:rRNA from 1 species
AUACGGAGGGUGCAAGCGUUAAUCGGAAUUACUGGGCGUAAAGCGCGCGUAGGCGGCUUGAUAAGUCGGAUGUGAAAUCCCUGGGCUCAACCUAGGAACUGCAUCCGAUACUGUCAAGCUAGAGUUUUGGAGAGGUAAGUGGAAUUUCCGGUGUAGCGGCGAAAUGCAUAGAGAUCGGAAGGAACACCAGUGGCGAAGGCGACUUACUGGCCAAAAACUGACGCUGAGGUGCGAAAGCGUGGGUAGCGAACAGGAUUAGAAACCCUAGUAGUCC